rnacentral:rRNA from 1 species
UCAAGCGAACAAGUGCAUGUGGUGGAUGCCUUGGCGAUUACAGGCGAUGAAGGACGCGGUAGCCUGCGAAAAGCUUCGGGGAGCUGGCAAACAAGCUUUGAUCCGGAGAUGUCCGAAUGGGGAAACCCGACCCGUAUGGGUCAUCCCUGACUGAAUACAUAGGUCAGGGAAGCGAACGCGGCGAACUGAAACAUCUAAGUAGCUGCAGGAACAGAAAUCAACCGAGAUUCCCAGAGUAGUGGCGAACGAAAUGGGAAGAGCCUUGUACUCUUUAGCAGCGUUGUUAGCAGAACGGGAUGGAAAGCCCGGCCAUAGCAGGUGAUAGCCCUGUAUGCGAAAACAGCAUUGUGGAACUAGGUGUACGACAAGUAGGGCGGGACACGUGAAAUCCUGUCUGAAGAUGGGGGGACCAUCCUCCAAGGCUAAAUACUCGUAAUCGACCGAUAGUGAACCAGUACCGUGAGGGAAAGGCGAAAAGAACCCCGGGAGGGGAGUGAAAUAGAUCCUGAAACCGCAUGCAUACAAACAGUCGGAGCCUGGAAACGGGUGACGGCGUACCUUUUGUAUAAUGGGUCAGCGACUUACAUUCAGUGGCAAGCUUAACCGAUUAGGGAAGGCGUAGCGAAAGCGAGUCCGAACAGGGCGUUGAGUCGCUGGGUGUAGACCCGAAACCAGAUGAUCUAUCCAUGGCCAGGUUGAAGGUGCGGUAACACGUACUGGAGGACCGAACCCACUAACGUUGAAAAGUUAGGGGAUGAGCUGUGGAUAGGGGUGAAAGGCUAAACAAAUCUGGAAAUAGCUGGUUCUCUCCGAAAACUAUUUAGGUAGUGCCUCGUGUGUCACCUUCGGGGGUAGAGCACUGUCAUGGUUGGGGGGUCUAUUGCUGAUUACCCCGCCAUAGCAAACUCCGAAUACCGAAGAGUGCAAUCACGGGAGACAGACAUCGGGUGCUAACGUCCGGUGUCAAGAGGGAAACAACCCAGACCGCCAGCUAAGGUCCCCAAGAUUGGCUAAGUGGGAAACGAAGUGGGAAGGCUAAAACAGUCAGGAGGUUGGCUUAGAAGCAGCCACCCUUUAAAGAAAGCGUAAUAGCUCACUGAUCGAGUCGUCCUGCGCGGAAGAUGUAACGGGGCUAAGCCAGUCACCGAAGCUGCGGACGCACAUUUAUGUGCGUGGUAGGAGAGCGUUCUGUAAGCCUGUGAAGGUGUCUUGUAAAGGAUGCUGGAGGUAUCAGAAGUGCGAAUGCUGACAUGAGUAGCGAUAAAGGGGGUGAAAGGCCCCCUCGCCGUAAGCCCAAGGUUUCCUACGCAACGUUCAUCGGCGUAGGGUGAGUCGGCCCCUAAGGCGAGGCAGAGAUGCGUAGCUGAUGGGAAGCAGGUUAAUAUUCCUGCACCGUCGUAUGAUGCGAUGGGGGGACGGAUCGCGGAAGGUUGUCCGGGUGUUGGAAGUCCCGGUCCCUGCAUUGGAGAAGGCGCUUAGGCAAAUCCGGGCGCGGAAUUCAAGGAUGUGGGGCGAGCGGCCUAGUGCUGCGAAGCAAUCGGAAGUGGUUCCAAGAAAAGCCUCUAAGCUUCAGUCAUACGAGACCGUACCGCAAACCGACACAGGUGGGCGAGAUGAGUAUUCUAAGGCGCUUGAGAGAACUCGGGAGAAGGAACUCGGCAAAUUGGUACCGUAACUUCGGGAUAAGGUACGCCCUGGUAGCUUGACUGGCCUGCGCCAGAAGGGUGAAGGGGUUGCAAUAAAAUGGUGGCUGCGACUGUUUAAUAAAAACACAGCACUCUGCAAACACGAAAGUGGACGUAUAGGGUGUGACGCCUGCCCGGUGCCGGAAGAUUAAAUGAUGGGGUGCAAGCUCUUGAUUGAAGUCCCGGUAAACGGCGGCCGUAACUAUAACGGUCCUAAGGUAGCGAAAUUCCUUGUCGGGUAAGUUCCGACCUGCACGAAUGGCGUAACGAUGGCCACACUGUCUCCUCCCGAGACUCAGCGAAGUUGAAGUGUUUGUGAUGAUGCAAUCUCCCCGCGGCUAGACGGAAAGACCCCAUGAACCUUUACUGUAGCUUUGCAUUGGACUUUGAACCGAUCUGUGUAGGAUAGGUGGGAGGCUUUGAAGCGUGGACGCUAGUUCACGUGGAGCCGUCCUUGAAAUACCACCCUGGUUUGUUUGAGGUUCUAACCUUGGCCCGUGAAUCCGGGUCGGGGACAGUGCAUGGUAGGCAGUUUGACUGGGGCGGUCUCCUCCCAAAGUGUAACGGAGGAGUUCGAAGGUACGCUUGGUACGGUCGGACAUCGUACCUAAAGUGCAAUGGCAAAAGCGUGCUUAACUGCGAGACCGACAAGUCGAGCAGGUGCGAAAGCAGGACAUAGUGAUCCGGUGGUUCUGAAUGGAAGGGCCAUCGCUCAACGGAUAAAAGGUACUCUGGGGAUAACAGGCUGAUACCGCCCAAGAGUUCAUAUCGACGGCGGUGUUUGGCACCUCGAUGUCGGCUCAUCUCAUCCUGGGGCUGUAGCCGGUCCCAAGGGUAUGGCUGUUCGCCAUUUAAAGAGGUACGUGAGCUGGGUUUAAAACGUCGUGAGACAGUUUGGUCCCUAUCUGCCGUGGGCGUUGGAAUCUUGACGGGGGCUGCUCCUAGUACGAGAGGACCGGAGUGGACGUACCGCUGGUGUACCUGUUGUCUCGCCAGAGGCAUCGCAGGGUAGCUAUGUACGGAAGAGAUAACCGCUGAAAGCAUCUAAGCGGGAAACUCGCCUGAAGAUGAGGAUUCCCUGGAGGCUUGACCUCCUUGAAGGGUCGUUCGAGACCAGGACGUUGAUAGGCUGGGUGUGGAAGCGCAGUAAUGCGUUAAGCUAACCAGUACUAAUUGCCCGUAAGGCUUGAUCCU